GCCCCCUCCCGCCUUCAUGGACAGUGCCUCCGAUGCCCACACCACCACCCCCAGCCAGUCUGACUCGGCCACAGAGGCCAACAAGCCGGACUGCAGCUCUGAGUCAGACACAGCCAUGCCCAACGGAGACAGGACUCCGGUGCCCAACUACCACAGCCUCCCAUCCCCGGGGCAGCUGGAAAGCCACGGGAGAACCACGGCCUUCACGCCGUGGAAGCAGCAGUGCCCUGGAGAGCUGCUGGAGCACGUCAACUCGACAGAAAGUGAGUGCAGUGCGGAGGAAGGGGCCCAGGUCCAUGCCCUCCCCAUGCCACACUUCCUCUACCUGAGGCAGGAGGCGCUGGUGGCUCCCUCAGUGCCCACCGUGCCGCCCACUGAUGCCCUGCGCCCUCCGUCCCCGCAGGGCCUGCUGCUCGGUGGGCGGCUGGAGCUAGUGCCAGUGCCGGAGCUCAGCAGCACCGACAGCUCCGAUGGGGAUGAGGCCUGGAGCCAGGGCCUAGGGGAGAAGGAACCAGGGGUGUCUCUGGAUUACCAGUCAGCUCAGAAGAUCCUGGACAGCCUGCUGAGGCAGCACCAACACCUGGAGAAGGAGCCGGCGAAGGCGAGUGGAGGGGGCUAUCAGGACAGGAGCGAGAUGGGCCAGGCCAAGGGGCACCAGCGCCGGAUUCGCUACUACUGGGACUUCCAGAGUCCGGGCAAGGAGCAGCCCCUGCUGCACCAGCCCCAGCAUGGAGGGGGGUCCCUUCCCCGGGCCAAGGGCGAGAAGGUGUUGCAAAGGGAGCAGGAGUGUGGGGAUGGGGUGAUGGACUCCACACUGCUGUAAGGGGACCCAUAGGCAGAUGAGACCCCUGCCCCACAGCCACUUCACUGUCUACCUCCUGCUGCCCCCUACCACUUCACUGUCUACCCCCUCACCACGGCAAGGAGCCCAGGGGAUCAGGGGUGCCCCACUGAGCAUAGGGAACUGUAGUCUGGGUUUGCUACAGACUGCCUGGGGGACA
rnacentral:lncRNA from 1 species